CUGUUUUUCUUCUUAAGAACUGCACAGUGAAUCCAAUGGAAAGUAUCCUGAAAAGAGUGCAGGAUAUUGGAUACAUAUUUAAAGAGAAGUUUGCUAAAGCUGUGGGACAGGGAUGUAUAGAAAUUGGAUCACAGCGAUACAAACUUGGAGUUCGGUUGUAUUACCGAGUAAUGGAAUCCAUGCUUAAAUCAG